rnacentral:rRNA from 1 species
GAGGGGGAUAACUACUGGAAACGGUAGCUAAUACCGCAUAACGUCGCAAGACCAAAGAGGGGGACCUUCGGGCCUCUUGCCAUCGGAUGUGCCCAGAUGGGAUUAGCUAGUAGGUGGGGUAACGGCUCACCUAGGCGACGAUCCCUAGCUGGUCUGAGAGGAUGACCAGCCACACUGGAACUGAGACACGGUCCAGACUCCUACGGGAGGCAGCAGUGGGGAAUAUUGCACAAUGGGCGCAAGCCUGAUGCAGCCAUGCCGCGUGUAUGAAGAAGGCCUUCGGGUUGUAAAGUACUUUCAGCGGGGAGGAAGGGAGUAAAGUUAAUACCUUUGCUCAUUGACGUUACCCGCAGAAGAAGCACCGGCUAACUCCGUGCCAGCAGCCGCGGUAAUACGGAGGGUGCAAGCGUUAAUCGGAAUUACUGGGCGUAAAGCGCACGCAGGCGGUUUGUUAAGUCAGAUGUGAAAUCCCCCGG